GGAUGAGAUUAUACCAGCACUAAUACACCAGAUCCCAUCAAAACUCCGUAGUUAAGCGUGCUUGGGCGAGAGUAGUACUAGGAUUGGUGACCUCAGGGAAGUCCUCGUGUUGCAUCCG
rfam:Arabidopsis thaliana chromosome 5, complete sequence.